AGUGAACGCUGGCGGUAGGCCUAACACAUGCAAGUCGAACGGCAGCACAGUAAGAGCUUGCUCUUACGGGUGGCGAGUGGCGGACGGGUGAGGAAUACAUCGGAAUCUACUUUUUCGUGGGGGAUAACGUAGGGAAACUUACGCUAAUACCGCAUACGACCUACGGGUGAAAGCAGGGGAUCUUCGGACCUUGCGCGAUUGAAUGAGCCGAUGUCGGAUUAGCUAGUUGGCGGGGUAAAGGCCCACCAAGGCGACGAUCCGUAGCUGGUCUGAGAGGAUGAUCAGCCCAACUGGAAAUGGGACACGGUCCAGAAUCCUACGGGAGGCAGCAGUGGGGAAUAUUGGACAAUGGGCGCAAGCCUGAUCCAGCCAUACCGCGUGGGUGAAGAAGGCCUUCGGGUUGUAAAGCCCUUUUGUUGGGAAAGAAAAGCAGCAGGUUAAUACCCCGCUGUUCUGACGGUACCCAAAGAAUAAGCACCGGCUAACUUCGUG
rnacentral:rRNA from 1 species